rnacentral:lncRNA from 1 species
GUCUUAAAGCACGGGAGUAUCUCUCACGCCCGAGAUGAUCCGAGCAGAGUUUCCCCUGCCAGAGAAUGUACCUUCCACUCCCAGACAGCUAAAAGACGACAGCUCUAAAGAUGACAGGAGUUCCCCGAGUCCCUGUAAAACUCCCCAGAGGAUGCCUGUCAGUACAGUAAACACCUCCAGGGAAUCAAGAGAGCAGCAGCUGGAGAUGUUUCUGAAGUCUCAGACCAAUAGACUUGGUGCCAAGGUGACGGCGCGACUCAACCACCUGAAUAUUGUGGGCAAGGCUAAUUCACCCUCUACACCAGAGAAUAAAUAGUGCUAUAUUUGUUACGAGGCACUAAGGUUGAUGCAGGAAAUAUCAGAUUACAGUACCAACAUACAUUGACUGAUAUAUUUCCUAUAAUAUAUUUUACUGUUAAAUACAUCAUUACUGCAGCUGCUAUGUGCUAUUGUACAGUUGCCACACCACUGAUGCUGUGCCCAUUGUCUUGCAUUUACGCUGGCCAAUUCAGCCAAGGACAUUUUCAUUUAAAACAGUCAUUAUGUACUUUAAAGUUCGGCUUCUUGUUUUAUUUAAAUAAUGACAUGCCUUUCUGGUAAAUAAAAAAAUAGAUAAAGCAACGAUUCCAAAUUUACACCUGUAUGUCACAGAUCCACAGUUAAAGCAAUCUCUAUUGCACUCCACACUGCUCUUUCACACU